AUUGAACGCUGGCGGCAUGCCUUACACAUGCAAGUCGAACGGCAUCGCGGUAAAGCUUUCUUUCCUGGCGGCGAGUGGCGCACGGGUGAGUAACACAUCGGAACGUACCGGCUAGUGGGGGCUAACCCGUCGAAAGACCGGCUAAUACCGCAUAAGCUCUUCGGAGGAAAGCAGGGGACCUUUUGGCCUUGCGCCAUCCCAGCGUCCGAUGUCCGAUUAGCUAGUUGGUGGGGUUAAGGCCUACCAAGGCGACGAUCGGUAGCGGGUCUGAGAGGACGAUCCGCCACACUGGGACUGAGACACGGCCCAGACUCCUACGGGAGGCAGCAGUGGGGAAUCUUGGACAAUGGGGGCAACCCUGAUCCAGCAAUGCCGCGUGGGUGAAGAAGGCCUUCGGGUUGUAAAGCCCUUUCGGCAGGGAAGAAAUCGGCGGGGCGAAUAACCCUGCUGGAUGACGGUACCUGCAGAAGAAGCACCGGCUAACUACGUG
rnacentral:rRNA from 1 species